CCCUACCGCUAUCGGGAUGGGAUUAAGACAUGUUAGUCGUGCGCUUCCUAGCCAUGAUGGAGGCGCGGCGCACAGCUCAGUAUCACGUGGCUAACCUAACCUUAGGACGGGGGCACCCCCGGGAAACUGGGGCUAAUUUCCGAUAGGUGAAGAUUCCUGGAAUGGAUUUUUGCCUAAAGGGCACUUGGGUCAUGCUUCCAGGUGUUGCCUAAGGAUGGGGCCGCGGCCGAUCAGGUUGUUGGUGAGGUAAUGGCCCACCAAGCCUUUUACCGGUGCGGGCCGUGGGAGCGGGAGCCCGGAGAUGGGCACUGAGACAAGGGCCCAGGCCCUACGGGGCGCAGCAGUCGCGAAAAUUUCGCAAUAAGCGAAAGCUUGACGGAGCUAUCCCGAGUGCCAUCCGCUGAGGAUGGCUUUUCUCUAGUGUAGAUAGCUGGGGGAAUAAGGAGAGGGCAAGUCUGGUGUCAGCCGCCGCGGUAAUACCAGCUCUCCGAGUGGUGGGGACGAUUAUUGGGCCUAAAGCAUCCGUAGCCGGCUGAGCAAGUCCCCUGUUAAAUCCAGCGAUUUAAUCGUUGGCCUGCGGGGGAUACUGCUUGGCUAGGGGGCGAGAGAGGCCGUCGGUAUUCCCGGGGUAGGGGUGAAAUCCUAUAAUCCCGGGAGGACCACCAGUGGCGAAGGCUGUCGGCUAGAACGCGCUCGACGGUGAGGGAUGAAAGCUGGGGGAGCGAACCGGAUUAGAUACCCGGGUAGUCCCAGCUGUAAACGAUGCAGGCUAGGUGUUAGGGCGGCCACGUGCC
rnacentral:rRNA from 1 species